UACGAAGGGGGCUAGCGUUGUUCGGAAUUACUGGGCGUAAAGCGUGCGCAGGCGGCUUCUCAAGUCAGGGGUGAAAGCCCAGAGCUCAACUCUGGAAUUGCCUUUGAGACUGAGUGGCUUGAGUACGAGAGAGGUGAGUGGAAUUCCCAGUGUAGCGGUGAAAUGCGCAGAUAUCAGGAAGAACACCCGUGGCUAAGGCGGCUCUCUAGUACGGUACUGACGCUGAGACGCGAAAGCGUGGGGAGCGAACAGG
rnacentral:rRNA from 1 species